UAUUUUAAUUGUAUCAUCACCGUCAAAUUUUCAUCCAUCCGCGAUAUCCAAAACCGUUAAUCCCGAUCCUGUUUUCUAUAUAAACCUCUCCACCCUCAUUCCCAAAUACCAAAAGUAGCUUGUUAUAUCUUUGUCGCUUGUUUUUCUUCUAAGUUCUACUUGUUCGGUUCAUGAAUUUUAUUUUAUGGUUUUAUUAAAUUUUGCACAAAUUUGUUUGCUUCGUGAUGGCUAGAAUUAAUGGUUUGCUUUUCUUGUACUCCUGAUCUGCUGCUAAGAGGAAGCUUGUUAGGGGUUUGUUUAUUGAUAUGCUUUUCGGAUCCUAGAAAUUGAGAAUUUUUCGAAUCAUUCGACUCUUCUUUUAUGGAUCAAUUAUAAAGAAUUUCAUGAGAUACUUCUUAUUUGGAUAAUAAGAUAUUCGUUUAUGUGUUUUGCAACGAUUUGGGAUUCUUGAUGUAAUGGAUAAGAACAGAUAACGGCUUUUGAGAAAUCGAAUUACCCGAUUGUUUGCUCCACCAUGGCUUGAUGCCAGGGUUGCUAAUCGUGUUUUUAAAUGGAUUUGUGUUGCAUCUUGAUACGAUUUUUUAAUGGAUUUGCGUUGCAUCUUGAUACCAUUUCUUAAUGGAUUUGCGUUGCAUCUUGAUACGAUUUCUUAAUGGAUUUGCGUUGCAUCUUGAUACGUUUUCUUUGGUUGCUGAUAGUGUUUUCUUAAUGGCUACGUUUUCUCAGAUUGCCUAUUGUGUUUUCUUAAUGGAUUUGCAUUGUGUCCCGAUGCGUUUUCUUAAAUUGCCCGAUCGUGUUUUCUUAAUGAAUUUAGGGGUUACUAUGAAUCAUUUGGUUAAUUAUAGAUAUGAUCUAUGACGCACUUACACAUGAAACUGACUUGACACAGGUUUUCAUUUGAUAAUAAGAGAUAUGUUUAUCCAUUUUGCGAAGAGGCUAGGAUUACCUUCGUAUAUAAAACCUUAUGAUACGACACAGAAGAAAAGAGAACAGCUCCAUAUAGAUAAAACUGAUUUCUUCAAUGAUUCUUAUUCUGGCUUUUAUUGCAAGACAUGUAAAUUGAAAUUUGAACAUGUUUUUCUGCAGCUUGGUUGUCAAAAUAAUAACCUUCUUCAAAGCAUGCAGCCUUGCCUUUUGAUUUGCUGAUCUUUGUUAUGUUAUUUUUGUUUUCAGUUCCGAGAGCAUAUCGAUAAUAUCAAAAACACAGUACAUCGACACCACUACAUAUAAAUGAUAGAAUUUAAAUUUUAUUUUCAGACUUUGAUCACAAGACAUACAAUUUGAAUUCUGAACAUAUUUUUUCUGCAGCUUGGUUUGUUAGAAUAAUUUUCAAUAAAGCAUGGAGCCUGAUGUGGGGUCCUCUCUCUGUUAUGCUAAUCUGCAACUUGGUUUGGAGAACUAUGACAUCUUCUUCUUUCUUUCUUGGUUUUCUAUAACCUAUAUGUCACAGUUUAAUUUUUGUGUACAUUUAUCGUCCGAUGCUGCUUCUUUGUACAAAUUAUCUCUGGUGAAAGUUUAAAGAAGGAUAUGAAAUCCAAAAUGUUCUGCUAGCUGAGGCAUAUAUUUUCUAUGAUCUAAUUUGGACAACUUGGUUAGGUGUGUUUUGACAAUCUGUUCUUUGGAUAUUCUAUGGAAGCUCAAACUUUCAUGUUUCAUGUUGGGUACAAGUACUUGCAAAUUGGCUAGAAGUUUGUGUCCGGGAAGUCGGGAACCAUUAUGUCUUCAUAGGUUGUGUUGCAUUCUUUAAUUUGGUCAUAUCUACUAAGAAAGACAAUAGGUUGUGUUGCAUUCUUUAAUUUGGUCAUAUCUACUAAGAAAGACGAUUAACAUUUCAGUACGUUUGAUAUAAUUUUGAAUUCCUUUGAAUUUUUUGCGAGUCAUAUAAGGGGAGACAGAUACAACCUAUGAAAUUCUGGUGUGCUGCAGCCUGUGACCUGAGGCAACAAAGGUUAACAUACUAUUCUUCCUAUGUUAGGAUACAACCCUUCUUUUUUAUGAUAUCUGUAUCUUUUUGAUGGUGUGUUCUGGGAGAAUCUAUUCUCCAAAAUGGAUAUUUGUCGGAGUGGGGAUGCCCAAUUUUUUUUCGUUUCAUACCGAGCACCAGUCUGCAAUUGGUCGUGGCAUAUAUUAUCACAGUUAUGUUUUAUCUAGUGACCUAUACUCUGAAUAUGAAUUCUUCUCCUCUAUGUAUCUUGGGAAUCUAGUUUUCUUGAUUCCUAAAGUUCCAUGUGGGUGUCACAAGGAGUAUAUGGACUGUGAAAGCUGUGGCGAGAUUAUCAUGGAAAUGCUUUAAGCUUUCGGAUAAAUGUCCUUGUUAUGGAUUGGAAUAGUUAUGCUUUGAUGACAUGACGUGGUAAUGUUGGUUUCUGUGUUUGUGGGAGACAAUUUUAACCACUUAAUUUCUUGAAUACAAUAUGAAGUCAUUUUCCUUGCGGGUGUCAAUUUUGGAAUUCAUUCUUAUUUUAUCACCUUCAAUAUAUCAGUUUACAUUUGGCUUACCAAUAACUCUAUUUUGAAACAGCAGAAACUGGUAUGCUGUUUUCUUGGCUAAAGUAGUUCCACUUUAUUUGAACUUGUGUCUCAAAUAAAACUAUGGACAUUGGCAUGUCAUAUGAUUCAAAAUUGAAUUUGUGAAAAGCUCUAAAAGCCAAUUGGCAUGACAUAUGAUUCAAAAUUGAAUUUGUGAAAAGCUCUAAAAGCCAAUUGGCAUGACAUAAGAUUCAAAAUUGAAUUUGUGAAAAGCUCUAAAAGCCAAUUGGCGUGUCCUAUGAUUCAAAAUUGAAUUUGUGAAAAGCUCUAAAAGCCAUCAUGUGAAUGCAGUGUUGUUACAAAACAUGACAGACCCAAAGUUUCUUAGGAUCCGGUAAGGAUGUGUUCAUCUAUGUUUGUUGGAAUUAUUAGGAUGCCAUGUGAUUCAAAAUUGAAUUUGUGAAAAGCUCUAAAAGCCAAUUGGCAUGUCAUAUGAAUCAAAAUUGAAUUUGUGAAAAGCUCUAAAAGCCAAUUGGCAUGUCCUAUGAUUCAAAAUUGAGUUUGUGAAAAGCUCUAAAAGCCAAUUGGCAUGUCAUAUGAUUCAAAAUUGAGUUUGUGAAAAGCUCUAAAAGCCAAUUGGCAUGUCAUGUGAUUCAAAAUUUAAUUUGUGAAAAACUCUAAAAGCCGAUUGGCAUGUCAUAUGAUUCAAAAUUGAAUUUGUGAAAAGCUCUAAAAGCCAUCAUGUGAAUGCAGUGUUGUUACAAAACAUGACAGACCCAAAGUUUCCCAGGAUCCGGUAAGGAUGUGUUCAUCUAUGUUUGUUGGAAUUAUUAGGAUGCCAUGUGAUUCAAAAUUGAAUUUGUGAAAAGCUCUAAAAGCCAAUUGGCAUGACAUAUGAUUCAAAAUUGAAUUUGUGAAAAGCUCUAAAAGCCAUCAUGUGAAUGCUGUGUUGCGACAAAACAUGACCCACCCGAAGUCUUCUCAGGAUCAGGUUAGGAUGUGGUCAUCUAGGUUUGUUGGAAUUAUUAGGAUGUCAUGUGAUUCAAAAUUUAAUUUGUGAAAAGUUCUAAAAGCCAAUUGGCAUGACAUAUGAUUCAAAAUUGAAUUUGUGAAAAGCUCUAAAAGCCAUCAUGUGAAUGCAGUGUUGUUAUAAAACAUGACCCACCCGAAGUCUUCUCAGGAUCAGGUUAGGAUAAGUUCAUCUAGGUUUGUUGGAAUUAGGAAAUCAUGUGAUUUAAAAUUGAAUAUGUGAAAAGCUUUAAAAGUUCAGUUAUGAUUUAUUCAUUUAUGAUUUCCAAUUGGAUGUUUUAGUUUUAUUAGUCUAUUGAUGUUUAACUUUAAAGUUCAGUCGUAUGUGUUCUUGACAUCAUUACUACUUUUUUCUUGCAAAUGUUUGUACUACAUUUGAGUUUUUGUAUUUAAGAAGUGCCAAAGUUUACAUAAUUUUUGAGACAUUUGGACAAAUUGGUGGGCCUCUCUCUGUUAUGCUUGGUUUGGAGAAUUAUGCUAUAUUCUCUCUUUCUUCUUGGCUCUUUUUCUACAACCUAUUUGUCAGAGUUUAAUUUUUCUAUACGUUUAUCGUCUGUUGCUGACAGAAUUUUGUUGUACAACAAAAGUUUUCUUAAUUCUGAAUCACACUCCCACAUUUUUAGUUGAUCUAUAGUGGAGAAAUUGGAGAUAAGUGUAUCUGCUUCUUUGUAUAAAUUAUCUCCGGUAAAAGAAUAAAGAAUGAUAUUUUCUAGGAUAAUUUGGACAACUUGGUUAGUUAUGUUUUGACGAUCUGUUCCCUGGGGUCUGUCAUUUCUGAAUAAUGUAUGCUCAAUAGCUCCUUUGGUAUUAGGUGGAAGCUCAAACUGUCAUGUUUCAUAUUGAGUACAAGUACUUGCAAAUUGGCUGGAAGUUUGUGUUCAGGAACCAUCAUGUCUUCAACUGUUGUGUUGCAUUCUUUAAUUCGGUCAUUUCUACUAAGAAAGACUUAACAUUUCAUUGUGUUUGAUACUAAGCACUUUUGAAUUCCUUUGAAUUUUAUGCAAUUCUUAUAGUGGAAUAGGUGAACAUACUAUUCUUUCAACCUAGGGACUAGGGAUACAACCCCUUUUUUUUUAAUGAUAUUUGUAUUUUUUUAUGGUGUGUUUUUGGAGUGUUGGAGUUUUUGUAUUUUUGUAGCAGCAGAAGCAAAAUAUUGAAGCAUACAAGAUUCUAGACCAAAGUACAUCUUUCUGCCCGAGCCAAGGAAUUUUUGACAACUUGGUUUGGCUCACCUUUUCUGUUUGUUAGCCACUUUCUUUGUUAUAAUUAUUUCACUACAUUCUCCUAAAUGGAUAUUUGUUGGUGGGGAAGCCCAAAUUUGUUCUUGGGAAUCUAGAUUUCUUGAUUCCUUAAAUUCCAUGUGGGUGUCACAAGGAUUAUAUGGACUGCGAAUGCUGUGGUAAGAUUAUCAAGGACAUGCUUUGAGCCUUAGGAUAAAACAUGCCAUUUUUCCUUAAAUGUACUUGUUAUGGAUUGGAAGCUGUGUUUUGAUGGUGUGAUGUGGUAAUCUUGAUUUAUGUGUUUGUAGGAGAAAAUUUUGACCACGUGAUUUCUUCGGGAUCUAUAUCUUCCUCUGUUUUAGAAUUCAUUCUUAUUUUAUCACCUAUGUAUCGGUUUUCAUUUGGCUUACUAAUAACUCUACUCUGAAACAGCAGCUGGUAUGUUGUUUUCUUGGCUAAAAUAGUUCCACUUUAUUUGAACUUGUGUUUCAUAAAACAUUGGACAUUGGCAUGUCAUAUGAUUCAAAAUUGAAUUUGUGAGAAGCUCUAAAAGCUAAUUGUGGCAUGUCAUAUGAUUCAAAAUAGAAUUUGGGAAAAGCUCUAAAAGUCGCCAUGUGAAUACAAUGUGAUGUGGUAAGGAUGUGUUCAUCUAGGUUUGUUAAUUAAAUCAACAUAUUAUCUUCAAUUGCAUAAUUAUUAUGAGGGGAAAGAUUACUCAAUCUCAAAUUCUCAAACUUCUUGUAGUCGGUGGCAAGUCCAAAAAUAUUGAAAAAGCUCAUGUGAGAGUUAUUGGACAUGUAAGUUUGUGACACCUAAUUCCUUUCUAAAUUCAUCAUUGUAAUAUUUUGUAUCACUGUGUUGAAGCAAUUAAAUUCUCUGUAGCGUCAAACCUUGUUUGUUUAAUAUGGUGACAAUGACAAUUACUGUUAAGUGUUAACUUAUAUUUAUAUGUUUGUUCCACAAAAGCCCUCCCUUGAUUUCAUGCACAACAUUGCUGAACAGAAUUGUGGAGUAUCUCUUCUCGCUGUCUUCUCUGUUUUUCAUCAAAUUUGUGGGCAUGUUUGAUUUGAUGAUUUACAUCCAAAGAGAGUUAUUCUUGUACUCUUUUACUGUAUGUUUGUUAUUUACGAUAUAUAGAGGAUUAGGAAUUCAUUUCCUCUAAUUUUUCCAUUGGGAACCAGAAUUCAUUAUUGGAACCAUCAUGUUCUGCAGGCUGCUGUAAGAUAUUUUCCAAAGAGUUCGAGUCAUGUACAUUUCAGUCAGUGUUUCUAAGAAUGUGAAAUUUGCAAAGUAUCUCCAUCCGGUGUUCGGUAAAUUGUUGCUCAUAUUGAAGUAAUUUGAUGGCAAUUGUUCCAAGCAUAAAUAUGUUGUUGGUUGUGUCCUAUAUUUUCCGCCUAUUUCUAGAUUUUAAUAUAAGAUCUCUAUUUGUAUUUAAAUACCUCUUAUUUCUUAAUCUGUUAUCAUCCAAAUUACUCUGCAAUUUUAUUGCAUUUGUUAUUUCAAGUUCUUUUGUUAGUUAGCGUUCAGUUUUUAUUGUUUAUGUGAUUUCUGCAUGGUUUUGCUCACAGUGAUUCAUUGUGAGACUUUGGACAAUGCUUGAGUGCAUGGUAAGUUUUAAUUAUAUAUCGAAUGGUUCUAUUAUUACUAUUCUUAUAUGGUAAGUUAUAAUUUAAAAUCUAUUUGAUGAUCAGCUAGUUGAAAUAUCAAGAACCUUUCCCAAUUUUUAAUUCCUAAAAUAAUAACCAAGAAUGAAAUCAUAUUAAUCAAAUUUCUAAAAAGAAUCCUUAUAUGCUAAUUUUGAUUGAAAGACAUGCGGUGAAAUAUGAAUCUAUUUUUCUUCAGUGUGAUUUCUUAAAAUAUAGUUUGUCAUAUCGAGUUUUAAUCUGGUGAUCCACGGUAAAUGCUUUUUAUAUUUUAAGAUGUGCAUUUAGGUUUUUAUUUUAAGACUUGCCCCUUUAGGUUUAUAAUAUAGUAAGAGCAUGUGAAGUACUGACGCAUAAGUGAACUCUCAUUUUUGGACAAGGUAAUGGUUGUCUACAAAUACUAUUGUUCUACAACUAUCAGUCAGUCUACACUUUACGCCGGACAAAUAAAUGAUAGUUAUAACCGUCAGUACUAUAUAGUCAGGUAUUCUUUUACUCAUAUUUAUAAAGUUCCAUUUGGUUCAUAUACUAACCACCACACAAGAAGUCUUACCGCAACACCAAAAGUUUUAUCGCAAUAUUAUAUUUCCAAUCUUUAUAAAUAAACUAAUUUUUAUUAUUGCAAUCAUAGUUUUAUUGAUAUGCUUUUCGAAUUGUUGAAAUUGAUAAUUUUUCGAAUCAUUCGACUCUUCUUUUAUUGAUCAAUUAUCAAGAAUUUUAUGAGAUACUUCUUCAAUUCUAUUCAUUAUUUUUAUUUCUCAAACAUACGAGUUUUUCGGAUUAUUUGCUCCAUCAUGGCUUGAUGUUAGGGUUACUAAUCGUGUUUUUAAAUGGAUUUGUGUUGCGUCUUGAUACGUUUUCUUAAUGGAUUUGCGUUGCAUCUUGAUACGUUUUCUCAGAUUCCUAAUCGUGUUUUCUUAAUGGAUACGUUUUCUCAGAUUGCCGAUAGUGUUUUCUUAAUGGAUUUACGUUACGUCUUGACGUGUUUAAUUUAUAGAUAUGAUCUACGGAGCACAUACGCAUGAAACUGACUUAAAACAGGUUUUCAUUUGAUACGACACACAAGAAAAGAGAACAGCUCCAGAUAGAUAAAAUUGGUUACUUCAAUGAUUCUUUUUCUGGCUUUUAUUGCAUGACAUGCAAAUUGAAUUUUGAACAUGUUUUUCUGCAGCUUGGUUUGUGAAAAUAAUAACCUUCAAAGCAUGCAGCCUAGCCUUUUGAUUUGGUGAUCUUUAUUAAGUUAUUUUUGUUUUCAGUUCCGAGAGCAUAUCUUUCUUGAAGUUGUCUUUUGAUCUUGUUCAAGCUGUUUUUCAAGUUUGUGUUUCUUCUGGUGUUGAAAUUUUUGUGUGUUACUAUUAUCAGGGACUAAUAUCAUAUGAAGCACCGAAUAAGACGCACGAACACCUGGACACGACAUUGUCUCCCCGACAUAGAUAAUUUUAAAAACAUAGUACAUAGAUAAUGUCAAAAACGCAGUACAUCGAUACCACUACAUGUAAAUGAUAGUAUUUAAAUUUUAUUUUUAGACUUUGAUCACAAGACAUACAAUUUGAAUUCUAAACAUGUUUUUUCUGCAGCUUGGUUUGUCAAAAUAAAUUUCAAUAUAGCAUGGAGCCUUAGCUUUUUAUUUGGUGAUCUAUUUUAAAAUCUUUUGAAAGCAUAUUAUUGUUGAUCUUUUAUUUCCUCCGGUGUUGCAGGAAAGGUAGUUGGUGGGCAUAUUAUUCUUCGUGUUUUGUAUUCUGAUUUUUUUCUGGUUUAUUGAUUUUGAGGUUUGAUUUUGUUCUGGCAUAUUUUCUGCAGUGUACUGUAUUUUGUAUAGUAUCAAGCCUCGAGUUUGUUUCGGUACUCGAAUUUGUUUCAUUUGAUUUCUUCUGUGCUGAUUCUUUUCAUCUAGAUUUCUUAUUUAUUCCCCUGCUGUGCUGAUUCUUUUCAUCUAGAUUUCUUAUUUAUUUCCUUGUGAUUUCCAAUUGGAUGUUAUAGCUUAGAUUAGUCUAUUGAUGUUUAAUUGAAAAGUUCAGUCUUAAGGGUUCUUGACAUUAAUACUAGUUUUUUUCUAACAAAAGUUUGUUCUACAUUUAUAUUUGUGUUUAGAAAGCGUAAAAGUGUAGAUGAUUUUUGAGAUGUUCGGACAAAUUGGUGGGCCUCUCUAUGUUAUGCUAAUUUGCAACUUGGUUUGGAGAACUAUGCUAUAUUCUUCUUUCUUUAUUGGUUCUUUUUCUACAACCUAUCACAGUUUAAUUUUUGUGUACAUUUAUCUUCUGUUGCUGACAGUAAGUUUGUUGUACAACAAAUGUUUUUAAUUCUGAAUCGCACUGCCACAUUUUUAGUUGGUCUAUAGUGAAGAAAUUGGAGAUAAGUGUAUCUGCUUCUUUGUAGAAGUUAUCUCCGGUGAAAGAAUAAAGAAGGAUGCGAAAUCCAAAAUGUUCUGCUAGCCGGGGUAAAUAUUUUCUAGGAUUUAAUUUGGACAACUUGGUUAGGUGUGUUUUGAUGAUCUGUUCCCUGGGGUUUGUUGUUAUUUCUGUUUUAUGAUGUAGGCCCAAUAGCUCCUUUGGUGUUAGGUGGAAGCUCAAACUGUCAUGUUUUAUGUCGGGUACAAGUACUUGCAAAUUGGGUCGAAGUUUGUGUCCGGGAACCAUCAUGUCUUUAAAGGUUUUGUUGCAUUCUUUAAUUUGGCCAUUUUUACUAAGAAAGACAAUUAACAUUUCAGUGUGUUUGACACUCGGCAAUUUUGAUUUACUUUGAAUUUUCUACUGAGUCAUAUAGGCGAGAUAGAGACAACCUAUGAAAGUCUAGUGUGUUGUGGCCUGUGGCAACAAAGAUUAACAUACCAUUCUUCCUAAGUUAGGAUACCUUUUCUUAUUAUAUCUGUAUCUUUUUAAUGGUGUGUUCUGGGAGUGUUGGAGUUUUUGUAUUUUUGUAGCUGAAGCAUAAUAUUGAAUCAUCCAAGAUUCUAGACUAGAGUACAUCUUUCUGCCUGAGCCAAGGAAUUCUUGACAACUUGGUUUGGAUCACUUUUUUGGGUGUGAUUACUACAUUCUUAUCAUUUGUCUUAUAUAUAAGAAUAAGAAUCUAUUCUCCCAAAUGGAUAUUUCUCAAAGUGGGGAAGCCCAAUUUUUUUUCCGUGCAAUUGGCUGUUGCAUAUAUUAUCACAGUCAUGUUUUUAUCUGGUUACCUAUACUCAGAAUAUGAAUUAUUCUUCUUUCUGUAUCUUUGGGAAUCUAGUUUUCUUGAUUCCUUAAAUUCCAUGUGGGUGUCACAGGGAGUAUAUAGACUGCCAAAGUUGUGGCAAGAUUAUCAAGGACAUGCUUUGAGCUUUCUGAUAAAAUAGGCCAUUUUUUCCUUAAAUGUACUUGUUAUGGAUUGAAAUAGUUACGUUUUGAUGGCGUGAUGUGGUAAUGUUGGUUUCUGUGUUUAUAGGAGACAAUUUUGACGACGUGAUUUCUUCGGGAUCUAUCUUCCUCUUGUUUGUCUGUUCAUAUUCUUGAUUUCUUUGAAUACAAUAUGAAGGUCAUUUUCCCUGCGGUUUUCAAUUUUGGAAUUCAUUCUUAUUUUAUCACCUUCAAUAUAUCAAUUUUCAUUUGGCUUACCAAUAACUUUACUCUGAAACAGCAGCUGGUAUGUUGUUUUCUUGGCUAAAGUAGUUCCACUUCAUUUGAACUUGUGUUUCAUAAAACAAUGGACAUUGGCAUGUCAUAUGAUUCAAAAUUGAAUUUUGUGAAAAGCUCUAAAAGUUGUCAUGUAAAUGCAGUGUUGUUACAAAACAUGACCAACCCUAAGUCUUCUCAGGACCAGGUGAGAAUGUACAUCUAGGUUUGUGGGAAUUAUUAGGAUUUUGAGGGGAAAUAUUUGCUCAAUAUCAAAUUAUCAGACUUCAUGUAGUCGGUGGCAAGUCCAAAAAUAUUGAAAAAGGUCAUGUGGGAGUUAUUGGACAUAUGAGUUUGUGACACUUAAUUCCUUUCUAAAUUCAUUAUUGAAAUAUUUUGUAUUUUGUUAUCAGGUUUUGAUCAUGUUUACUGUGUUAAAGCAAGUAAUUUUUUUGUAGCAUUUCAGUGAUUUUAUCAUCGGUGUUAUAGGUUCUAUUUGAUUUUAUCAUCGGUGUUAUAGUCUGACUGCCAGGAUUAAUUAAGCAAGAUUCUGUAGAAAACUUGUUUCAUUUCGAUGAAACAAUGUGGUUGGGGCUUUUGUUUUCGAUGAAUAUCUUCUUUGGCAUUUUUGGAAAAGUAUCUCCAUCCGGUGUUCGGUAAAUUGUGGCUCAUAUUGAGGUCCAACAUUUUCAAUUUGAUGGCAAUUGUUCCAAGCGUAAAUAUUGUGUUUGUUGUGUUAUAUAUUCUCCCCCUAUUUCUAGAUUUUAAUCUGAAGAUCUCUAUUUGUAUAUAAAUACCUCAAUCUGUUAUUAUUUAAAUUACUCUUCAAUUUUAGUGCAUUUGUAAGCGUUCCAUUUUUAUUGUUUAUGUGAUUUCUGCAUGGUUUUGUUCACUGCGAUUUAUUGAGAUUUUGGACAUGUUGUUUGGGUGCAUGGUAAGUUAUAACUAUAUUUCAAAUAGUUCUACUUAGAAUAAUUAGACUCUUCUUUUAUGGAUCAAAUAUCUAUAAAAAAAUUGAUAUAAUUUUUCAUUGGAUAAUCAGGAUUCUGUUUAUCUAUUUUGCAGCGAUUUGGGAUUAAUGAUGCAACGGAUAAGAGCGGAGAACGUAAUCAAAUUUCUUCAAUUCUUUUUAAUUCGACUUUUCCAGAUUGUCUGCUCCGUCACGGCUUGAUGUUAGGGUUUUCUAAUAGUGUUUCCUUAAUGGAUUUGUGUUGUGUCUUGAUACGAUUUCUCAGAUCGCUGAUCGUGUUUUCAUAAUGGAUUCUUUUUCUCAGAUUGCUGAUUGGGUUUUUGUAAUGGAUUUGCCUUGCCGCUUGACACAUUUUCUUAGAUUGCUGAUCAUGUAUUCUUAAUGGAUUUGUUUUGCGUCUUGAUACAAUUUUCUCAUAUUGUUUAUCGUGUUUGCUUGAUGGAUUUGCGUUGGGUUUUCAUACGAUAUCUCAGAUGGUUGAUCGUGAUUUAUUAAUGGAUUUGGGUUACUGUGAAUCAUCUGUUUAAUUUAUAGAUAUAAUAAUCUAUGAAGCACAUACACGUGAAACUGAUUGACAUGGGUUUUCAUUUGAAAAGUAAGAGAUGCGUGUAUCCAUUUUGCGGAGAGACAAGAAUUACCUUCAUAUCUAAAACCUCAUGAUACGACACACAAUAACAGAGAACAACUCCACCAGAUAGAUAAAUCAGAUUUCUUCAAUGAUUCUUUUUCUUUUCUUGUUCUGGCUUUUAUUGCAAGACAUGCAAAUUGAAUUUUGAACAUGUUUUUCUGCAGCUUGAUUUGUUAACCUUCUUCAGCCUAGAUUUUUCAUUUGGUGAUCUUUAUUAAAUUAUUUUUGUUUUCAGUCCUGAGAGCAUAUCUUUUUUGAAGUUGUCUUUUAAUCUUGUACAAGCUGUUGUUGAAGUUUGUAUUUUUUUCGUUGUUAAAGUUUUUGUGUGUUUCUAUUAUUAGGGACUUAUAUCCUAUGAAGUAUCGAAUCCGACAUGGAAACCGGGACAAAGUUUGUGCUUCUUCUGGUGUUAAGGCUUUUGUGUGUUUCUAUUAUUAGGGACCUAUAUCCUAUGAAAUACCAAAUUCGCCACGAACACCAAGACACGACAGACGCCCCGGCACCAAUAUUGUCAAAAACAUAGCACCGCUGCAUAUAUAUGAUUGGAUCUAAACCUCAUUUAUCUAUCUAUUAUUUAAAGGGUUAAAAAUAUCCUAACAAAGAUCUUUGUUUUUAAUUUUCCACUGAUGACAUAGCUGUAAAAUAUAUUUAACCUUUUAGAUGUGUUUGUGAUUUGUCUUAAAAAUGUAUAAGGUGGGUUGAAACAAAAAAAAAAAAACUUUUUAAACACUUGUUUAGAUUGUUAGACAUGUGUUGGGACACUUGUCAGACUUUUCUAACAUGCUCGGACACCACGACACGCCUACUCUUAGAAGUUUAUGCGCUUUAUAUUUUAGAUUUACCCUGGUUUGUCUUGGUACAAAUUAUGGAAAUGCUAAUGGAAAUGUUUUUUUUCCUUUUCCAAGAUGAGAAAUUUUGGAUAACAUAUGUUCUUAUUAUUCGGAGAGGUUUUCUAUAAUCUUCAUGUUUUGUUGCCUUUUAUCUGUGAUUUAUGAUAACUCACAUUCCUAAACAGAUUCCAUCUUUGAUACAAUUACAUGGUCCAAGCACUGCUUUGUGUCAUGUGUCAGUUACCAUCUUUGACAUUUCCUACUAUUGUUGCACUUUAAUUUGGUCAUUUCUACUAAGACUUUUACACUCUAGUCUUUGUUUGAUUUGAUACUCAACAUCUACUUUUGUCAGAUCUUCUGAGUUGUGUAUCAGUUUUGCAUGGAAGAUAUCUAAUAUGUUUUGUUUUCUGUGGAACUUAUGCAUGCAUAGGUUUACUUAUGGUGUCUUUGUUUUGGGAUAGCUGUCCUCUGAUGGUGACUGGAGUUUUUGUGUUUUUUAUUAGGAAUGGGAGUAAGAAGCCUACAGUGUUUGACACUUUUUUUGUUAUGCUGUUUUGGAAUAGUUGUUCUGCAGUGUGUAUGUGAGAGCCCCGUGUUUUGAUUUGGCCCUCUCUUGUAAAUUAGUUUCUUUUAAUAUUUCUUUAAUAUAGAAUAUAUAUUUCUUGACUUGUUAUUUUACUCUUAGACGUUGUAGGAGAGGAUGUACUUUUGAUUUCUUGUUCCUAAAGUUUGUUUGUUCUUGCUCUUACCAAAGUUGUGGAGAACAACUCCAGAUAACUCCAAUUUUUCAAUGAUUUAUUCUUUGUUAUUUUUAUUUCUUUGGUUUGAUUUCAAGAUAUUCCAAACGAACUGUGAACAUAUCUUUUAUGCAGUGCAGUUUUUCAAAUUAAUAAAUUUCAUUGCAUGAGAGCCUCAACUUUUAGUUUGGGCAUCUUUUGUAGAUUCUUCUAGUUUAAUAUUUCUCUAUAGACCAUAUAUUUCUUGAUUUGUCAUUUGCUUGAUCAAGUUGCAGGAGAGGAGAUGAUUUUUGAUUUCUUGACUUUUUAUUCUCUUUGGUGUUGCAAGAGAGGAUGUGCUUUCGAUUUCUUGGUUAUAAAGUUACUUGUUCUUGUUCACACAAUCAUACUUCUCUCGACUCUCUUACAGAUUGGUUGACUAGAAUUGUUUCUAUAAUAUAGAUUUAAUUGUUCAUUUAAAUUCAUAAUGUCUUGAUACAACAAGAGCGGAAAAUAACUCCAGGUAGAUAAACCAAAUUUUUUCAUUGGGUCAUUUUUUACUAUUUCUAUUUCCGGCCUUUGAUUGCAAGGCGUACAAAUUGAUUUCUGGACGUGGUUUUCUGCAGUGUGGUUGUCCAACCAAUAACCUUCAUAGCAUGGAGUUUUGCAUUCUGAUUUUUUAUUUGGUGAUCUCUAUUAAAUUCUUUUCAUUUUCAAUAUUUCUUUAUCGAUACUGAAAGCAUAUCUUCAUUGAUUUGGUGUUAACUUUUUGGUGUCGCAGGAUACACAAUUUCUUCUAGUUCUAUUUUCCUCUUGUUUGAUCUUCAUGGAUUUUAUUUUUUUGGUUUCUUGAUUCUUAUGUUUAAUUUGGUUUUUGUUAGUUUUGACGUUGGAAAUUACUAUCAACUAUUCAUAUGGGUAUUUUAUGUUUAAUUUGUUGGCAGCACUCAUUGGCAAUUCCCAGGAGUUUUGGUGUGAAUUUUCUGUCUUAAUGUAUUGCAGAUUGAUAUCAAAUAAUGGUAAUGUUUUGCAUUUAUCACCUAACUUAAAUUGUGAAUUAAAACUUGUACUUUUUCUGUUAUGUUGUGUAUUGCAACAAUAUUGUUGUGUAGUAUCAAGCAAUGUAUAAUUAAGCAAUCAUGUUUUCUUUUUUAAAAUAUACUCCUCUUCGAUUGUGAAUUUUUUUUGUUUCAUUUCUUCUAUAUACAGUUUUAUUGACCUGUUUUCUCAAUUUACUCCUUUAUGGUUUUACUUUGUCGAUUUACUCUUUAUGGCCCUAUUUUCUCGAUUUUCUCCUUUGCAGAUUGAUAAUUGUUCAAUGCUGUUAAAACUAAUUGUUAGAUGCUGUUAAAAUUAAAAGCAUAUUGACAUGCGCUUAUCUAUAUUGCACCGAGCUGAUUUCGAGGUAUUUGGAGCAGUUUGUAAUUCUUGUUUACAAUGGAUAAGAACGAUAAUCCUUAUAGAAAGGAGUCGUUCUUUAUUAUUUUUAUUUAUUUUCAGAAUUUGAUCACAAGACAAACAAAGGAGUUGUUCUUUAUUAUUUUUAUUUUCAAACUUUGAUCAAAAGAUAUACGAUUUGAAUUCUUAACCUGUUUUUCUGCAGCUUGGUGUGUCAAAAUAAUUUUCAAUAUAUCAUGGAGCCCGAGUUUUUUAUUUAGUGACCUCUUUUAAAAACUUAGUUUUCAAUAAUUCUUUAUCCCUUUUGAAAACAUAUUAUUCUUGAUCUUUUAUUUCCUCUUGUGUUGCAGGAAAGGUAGUUCGUGAGCAUAUUGUUCUUCGUGUUUUGUAUUCUGACUCCUUUCUAGUUUCUUGAUUCUGAGGUUUGAUUUUGGUCUGGCUUUUAUAACCAUACACGUGAAUUGAAAUAUGGCUCUGUUUCUGCAGUGUAAUGUAUUAUGUGUAGUAUUAAGCCUCAAGUUUAUUUUGGUACUUGGAUUUUUUUCAUUUAAUUUCUUCUCUUCCGAUUCUUUUCGUCUAGUCUAUUGAUGUUUGAUUGAAAAGUUUGGUCUUGAGGGUUUUUAACAUUACUUUUUCAUACAAAUGUUUGUUCUACAUUUGGGUUUUUGUAUUUAGAAAGCGCAAAAGUUUACAUAAUUUUUUAGACAGUCGGACAAAAUGGUGGGCCUCUCUGUUAUGCUGAUCUGCAACUUGGUUUGGAGAAUUAUGCAAUAUUGUCAAAGUUUAAUUUUUUUGCACAUUUAUCUUCUGUUGCUGACAGAGUAACUUUGCUAUACGACAAAAGUUUUCUUAAUUCUGAAUCACACUCGCACCUUUUUAUAAAUUAUCUUUGCUGAAAGAAUAAAAAAGGAUAUAUAAUCCACUUAAUCUAUAUUAUCUUUGUUGAAAGAAUAAAGAAGGAUAUGUAAUCCAAAAUGUUCUGCUAGCUGGGAUAUAUAUUUUCUAGGAUUUAAUUUGGACAACUUGGUUAGGUACGAUUUGACAACCUGCUCCCUGGUGUCUGUUGUUAUUUCUGAUUUAUGAUGUAGGCCCAAUAGCUCCUUUGGUAGUAGGUGGAAGCUCAAACUGUCAUGUUUCAUAUUGGUUACAAGUAAAUACUUGCAAAUUGGUUGGAAGUUUGGGUCCGGGAACCAUCGUGUUCUCAGAGGUUGUGUUGCACUUUAUUUUGGUUAUUUCUACUAAGAAAGACAAUUAACAUUUCAGUGUGUUUGAUACUUGACAAUUUUUGAAUUCCUUAGACUUUUCUGUCAACAGAGGUCAACACGCUAUUCUUCCAAUGUUGGGAUACAACCCUUCUUGGAAGAGAGACAAAGACAACCUAUGAAAGUCUUGUGUGCUGUGGCUUGUGUCCUGUUGCAACAGAGGUCAACUUGCUACUCUUCCAAUGUUGGGAUACAACCCUUCUUUUUUAUGAUAUCUGUAUUUUUUUUGAUGGUGUGUUUUGGGAGUGUUGGAGUUUUUGUAUUUUUGUAGCAGAAGCAUAACAUUGAAGCAUACGAGAUUUUUCCCGAGCCAAUGAAUUUUUGACAACUUGGUUUGGCUCAACUUUGUUAUAUUUGUUUCACUACAUUCUCCCAAUUGGAUAUUUGUUAGUUGGGAAGCCCAAAUUUUUUCCAUUUCACAUGGAGCACCAACCUACAAUUGGCUGUGGCAUAUAUUAUCACAGUUAUUAUGUUCUUCUAUGGUGAUCUAUAUUCUGAAUAUGAACUCUUCUGUUUUCUGUAUCUUGGGAAGCUAGUUUACUUGAUUCCUUAAAUUCUAUGUGGGUGUCAUAGGGGAGUAUAUGGACUGUGAAAGCUGUGGCAGAUUAUUAAGGACAUGCUUUGAGCCUUGGGAUAAACAGGCCAUUUUCCCCUUAAAUGUACUUGUUAUGGAUUGGAAGUUGUGUUUUGAUGGUGUGAUGUGGUAAUCUUGGUUUCUGUGUUUAUAGGUGAAAAUUUGACCGAGUGAUUUCUUCGGGAUCUAUAUCUUCCUCAGUUUUGGAAUUCAUUCUUAUUUUAUCACCUUGAAUAUAUCAAUUUUCAUUUGGCUUACCAAUAAAUCUACUCUGAAACAGCAGCUGGUAUGUUCUUUUCUUGGCUAAAGUAGUUCCACUUUAUUUGAAGUUGUGUUUGAUAAAACAUUGGACAUUGGCAUGUCAUAUUAUUCAAGAUUGAAUUUGUGAAAAGCUCUAAAAGCCAUCAUGUGAAUGCAGUGUAGUUCCCAUUUACAAAGGAUGACCAACCUUAAGUCUUCUCAGGACCAGGUAAGGAUGUGUUCAUCUAGGUUUGUUGAUUAAAUCAAAAUAAUAUCUUUGAUUGCUUAAUUAACAUGUGGUGAAAGAUUACUCAAUCGCAAAUUCUAAGACUUGUAGUCGGUGGCAAGUCCAAAAAUAUUGAAAAAGCUCUUGUGAGAGUUAUUGGACAUGUGAGUUUGUAACACUAAAUUCCUUGCUAAAUUCAUCAUUCUAAUAUUUUGGAUUACUGUGUUGAAGCAAUAAAUUUCUUUGUAGCAUCAAGCCUUGUUUGUUUAAUGUGGUGACAAUGACAAUUACUCUUAACUUACAUGUAUAUAUGUUUGUUCCACAAAAGUCCCCCCUUUUGAUUUCAUGCAACAUUGCUGAACAGAAUUGUGGAGUAUCUCUUUUUGCUACCUUCUCUGUUUUUCAUCAAUUUGUGGGCAUGUUUGAUUGAUGAUCUACAUCCAAAGAGAGUUAUUCUUUUACUCUUUUACUGGUUGUUUGGUAUUUAUGAUAUAUGGGAAUAGAAAUUCAGUUUCUCUAAUUUUUACAUUGGAGACCAGAAUUCAUUAUAUUGGAACCAUCAUGUUCUGCAGACUGUAAGAUAUAUUCUAAGGAGUUUGAGUCAUGUACAUUUCAGUCGGUGUUUCUAAGAAUGUGCAAUUUUAAAUCUCUGAUUUGUAUCAUCAGUGUUAUAGGACCUAUUAGUGGGCUGUUAAAGUUGCUGCCGCUGAGAUUUACCCCAGCUUUACGACAGUAUUCGUCAUUAAUUAAGCAAGUUUCUGUAGAAACCCCGUGUCAUUUCGUAAGAUGAUCAGCGUGGUUGAGGCUUUCGUUUUCGAUGAAUAUCUUCUUUGGCACAUUUGGCAAAGUAUCUCCAUCCGGAGUUCGGGUAGAUAGCUCAAUUGUACGCUGGGCUUUGAAGCUUUGAUGGAAACUAUCAAAGACUUUGUUUACUAGCUUCAUAUAUAUAGUAAGAAAAGGAGACUCCAAUGCGACUCAAGUGGUGAAGACAUUAAUUUACAUGCUCAAGUGGUGAAGACAUUAAUUUACAUGCUUUGUUUAUAUAAAAAUCAACGCCUGGUAGUGUUAGAGUUACAUAGUAUAAUGCACCUACAAUGGGCUUGUACAUAGCUGGAUUUGAUAGGAUAUAUGAGCCAUCUUUGCUCAUCUUACAGUGAUUGAACAUGGGAGUUAUGACUCCAUUUGCACCUGACAUGUUUACCUUACUCAAAAUAUCCUUGAUGUAUUUGGAUUGCGUGAGUAAUACAUAUCCAUUUGACUGAUAAUGCACUUCAACACCUAGGAAAUAUUUGGGAAUUCCAAGCCUUUUCGUGGAAAUUUUGGUAUGUACCUUAAUGAUAAGGUUGUGAAUUAAUGCAGAGGAUGUGCCACUUAUGAGAUAAUCAUCCACAUAUAUCAAUGCAUACAAUGUGACUCCUUGGUGUUUGUACACAAAGACAUGAUGACCGCAUUUGUUGGAUAUGAAACCAAAAGAUUAAAGUUUGGCGCAGUUUGUCAUACCAGGCCCUUGGAGUCUGCUUCAAGAAACAGAUUGCAUUUUUCAGUUUGCAAAUUAGAGUGGUAUUAUAGCCAAUAAAGACAGGUGGUUGGUCCAUGUAAACUUCUUCUUGAAGAUCCCCAUUUAAAAAAGCAUUGUUGAUAUCAAUUUGUUGAAUUUUUCACUUGAAUGUGAUAGCCAAAGACAAGAUCAUUUGGAUGGUUAUUGGUUUUACCACAUUUGAGAAUGUUUCAUGGAAAUCAAAAUCUUAUUGUUGAUGAAAUCCUUUUACUAUAAGUCUUGCUUUGUAUUUAUUAACACUUUCAUCUGAAUUUUCCUUUACUAUGGACACCCACUUGCACCCUAUAGUGUCAUUCUUCAACAAUGAUUCAUGUUCAUUCUUUAUGGCCUCAUGCCAAUCAAGAUUGGCAAUAUCUUGUUUAGUGGUAUGUGUUUCAGUAUGCACUAAAAAAGCUUUAGGUUUGAAUAUUUCAGUUUCAGCUCUAGUCAAUAUGGAAUUAUUAUUCACCAAAACAUUUGGAGCCUGAAAUUGUAUGUGAAAUGAUGUGGAUAAAGAUUUUGUACUUACUGAAUAGGUUUGUGACAAAGGUCAAAGAUACGUUAGUGUCAUCUGUCAAACCUUGUUUAGAUUGAAAGUUGAUUGAGGAUACACAUACUCAUAUGGGACAUGAUUAGGACUUGGAAAUGAAUGAGAACCUGAUUGAGGUGAUUGAAUGGUGUUGGAAAAGCUAUGAAGGGGAACUUUCAUCAGGUUUGGCAAGAAAAGCUUGCUGAAGGGAAACUUUCAUUGAAUUUGACAUCCUUGGGCUGAGCAAAGGAAAACAUGAGCAUCCAAACACCUUCAAUAAUAUAUACUUGGGUUGCUUGCUGUACAAGGCAACCUAAGUGAGAUAAAUUUGGAUAGACCAACAAUUGAUUGUAUGUUGAUAGAAAGACAUGUGUCAAAGUUAUGAUCCCAGUAUGUGAUUGGCACUGAAACAUGAGCAAGGAGAGUGAGCCCUAUUUCCAUUGUUUGCCUAUGAUUUCUCUACACAUUUCCAUUCUGAUGUGAAGUAUGUAAACAUGUGAGCCUAUGACCAAUUCCGAGUUUCUUUAAAUGUUUGGUGAAUGUCUUGAAUUCUCUUCCAAAAUUAGAUUGAACUGAUUUUAUAGUUGUGUUAAAUUGUGUAGUAAUAUAUUUCUAGAAUAUUUUGAAGGGAUUUAGAGUGUCACUUUUGUUCUUGAGAAGAUACAACCAAGUGCACUUGAAAAAUGCAUAAACAAAAGCUAUAUAAUAUGAGUAUCCAUUGCUUAAAGGGUUAGGAGAAGGCCCCCAUAAAUCAGUGUGAAUAAAAUGAAAAGCAUUAGUGUAAUUCAUAUUAGACAAAGGAGCAUGUAUUCUAUGUGAUAUACCAAUACAACAAGAAUUGUAAAAUUAUACUAACUCUUAUUCUUACAUUGAAUUUUACAUAGCUAAAAAACAUUCAAGAUAACCCUAGAAUUGGCAUGUCCUAGAUUAGAAUGCGAUAAAGAGGAUUUAUUUCAAACAAGAUUUAAUGCAGUAGUAUUAUGAAUAAAAGAAGACUCUUGAUGUAACUUGUGUGUAAGGGUAUGCUUGAAGAUUCUAAAGCAAGAUUGUUAAAGCAGUACAAUCCACUCCCAUCAAGGAAUCCUUCAAGGAGAACCAACUUCGAUUCCUGUAAUUUCACAUAGCAUUUGUCAGCAUGAAAUUCAAAAUAUGUAUCAUUUUUCUUUGCAAAUUUUGAAACACAAAUCAUAUUUCUAGUUAUUUGGGGAACAAGCAUUAAGCGGUUUAAGUGUAGCACUGAUUUUGAUAUGCAUUUUGACCUAACAUUGGUAUGCCCAAUAGAUUGACCUAACAUGUUAUUUCCCUUACCAACUACUACUUGCUUACGGCCAAUACAUGACAAAUUUAUUUUCACGUUAGAUUCACUAGAGGUUAUGUGAUAUGGUGCACCUGAGCCUGUGAACCAAGCGUGAACUUCAAGGUCUUGAGGAUUUUGGAAUUUCUCCUGAGGCGCUAAAUAAGCGUUUGUUUGAGAAUAGGUUGAUGUCUGAUAUUUAUGAGUAUUUGAUGCAUUGACUGGAUCAUUUAUUGUUGGGCCUUCAGCUUGAGCUUUGGUUGAUGUAGGAUCAAAAUAGUCAUCAAACUAAUGCCAACAUUCUAUCACUGAGUGACUAUAUUAGUUACAGAGAUGAUAAAUAGGUAUGUUACAUAGAGUAUAGCUAUGCAUUACUCGACCUUUUCUAUAAUUUGUUCUACCUUUACCUCGAAAUGCAUGGUUUGUUCCAAAGUUAUAGCCAUUUUAUCUGCUCCUGAGUUAACAAAAGCUUGUGCUACAUUAGUCAUUUCACUUGAUGUAGUAAAUUAUUGUCUAUACUUAUCAAGUUGAGCCUCUUGCACAUAUAGUAAAGCUUAUACUUCAUAGAUGCCAGUUAACUCUACUUUUCCAUAUAUUAUUGUGAUAAAUGAAUUAUAUUCUUCAUUAAAACCUUGCAAGAUUGCAUCAAUUUGAUCUCUCUCCGAAAUUGGAUCACUUAUAGCUAGAAGAGAAUCAUCAAUAGCCCAAAUCUUUAGGACAUACUCGAAGAUCGACUUGCUACUUUUCUUGCUUAUCUUGAGUUUAGACUUGAUUUGAUGUACACGAGCUUUAAUUUGCGAAUUAAAGUGUUUAUGCACAUUAUCCCCCACUUUAUACAAAUGCUUGCAAGAAAGAAUACGUGGUAGCACAACUUUUGAGAGACGAUAUUCGCCAACCGAUCAUUUUCUAUUUUGAAUUUUGGUGGAAUUUGUGAAUUAACUACCACUCUAUGGAGUUUAUGCGAGAAAAUUACUCCCUCAACUUGUUGAUUACAUUGCAUAAAAUUGGCUUCUUUCCGCUUGAUGGAUAUUCUCAGUGCAAAGGUGUCUUGGAUCCUGAAACCGUCAUUGCUCAUGUAGCAGCUUUAGAUGAAUUUGAUGUAGAAUGUGCGUUAAGAAGAGAUGAACCUAGAUCCUCCAUUGUUGCUUCUUUGAAGUUUUUUUCAGUUGAUGCUCGAAACUUUAUGUGAUCCACCAGUAUUGAACAUUACUUUAAGCUUUGAAUCUUCGCUUAUGGUGAAGAUGAAAAUGAUAAUGCAGUGGAGUUAGUUCCCUUAAGCUGAUACCAUAUUAGAUGAGCGUUCAUACAUGUAUAUGAUGGAAGUGAUGAAACUCAUAUAGAGAAAGCAUUAUUUUUCAUGCAUAUGUUGGCUAUGGAUUUGGAUCUGCAACACAAUAUUUUGAGUGUGUGGAUUAGGAUGGAGGUUUCCCAGAGGUGCCAACCUAGUAGGGAUAUUUGUGUUUCUCUUGAUGUUCAUCUACUCUUGCCUAAAAAAAUAUUAUUGAAUACACGAAUGAAUAUUUAGUAUAUAUAGUGAAGCAUUCAUGGAUCCUUACUCUUACCUAACUUUGGUCUCAUCGAACUACCUUCAUGUAGUUAGUUAUAGUUAGUGUAACUAAUUAUAACUAACUUUCCUUAGUUAUUCUCUAAUAGACUGCUACCAUUGAUGGAUUUCAAAUGUAAAACCAGUGUGCGAAAAAUUGUGAUAGAUUGUAGGUAAAGUGAUUCGCUUGUGCUGAAUUACUCAUCGCAAGGGCACGACAACAAGAGGUGCGAGUUUCAUUGAUGGUAGAUGUUAAAUGUGUGCUUCAUUGUUAAUUAAAAUAUAAUCUUUGUUUAUAUUUUGAUGAGUUUGUUCAUUGAUAUUCUGACGAGUUCUGAUUUAAUUACCAUAUACACAGAAAGACAAAUAUCUGAAGUCUUUUUUGCUUUCGACCAUAUUUUCUCUAAACUUAAGAUUAAAAUAGGCCACCAUUACAAUUUCUGGACCCAAUUUAUGUUAUUCACUUCUCUAUCUAUCGUGUCUUCUCUUUUCUUUUAUCCUCAACUUUUCUAUUGUAGAGGCAACACAACUAAAGAGAAAUUAAUCAUAAACUCCUAAAUCAACAAAAAUCGGUGGUCAUUUACAUAUUAUUUUGAGAAUCUCUUAAUGCACCCUUAUGCCUUCUUAGAGACCCUUGGCGAAAACUCCAAAAUACUCCCAGAAUUCAGAUAUGUAUUUUUGAACUCACUACAUUAUAUUUUUUAGAUGGGUUUCGGAUAUGCAUCUUUGAAUCAACCCCAUAAUUUAAGUUUAGGGGAUUUUCAGAGAUGCGUCUCCGAAACUGUUUUAAGUAUAUAGUUGGCGCUGACAUAAUCCCUCAUACUUCAUUUUCAUUUAACAUUCAAAUCAUCUUCAUCUCCGAACCCUUCACUUUUGAGCAAUUUAUUGAAGCUAGUUUUUGAGAUACUUUGAUGGAGUAAGUGUUUUCGAAGCAAUAUUCUACUCAUUUCAUCAAGUUUCCAAAAGCUCCAAU